rnacentral:rRNA from 2 species
GAGUUUGAUCAUGGCUCAGAUUGAACGCUGGCGGCAUGCCUUACACAUGCAAGUCGAACGGCAGCACGGGAGCUUGCUCCUGGUGGCGAGUGGCGAACGGGUGAGUAAUAUAUCGGAACGUGCCCUAGAGUGGGGGAUAACUAGUCGAAAGAUUAGCUAAUACCGCAUACGAUCUAAGGAUGAAAGUGGGGGAUCGCAAGACCUCAUGCUCGUGGAGCGGCCGAUAUCUGAUUAGCUAGUUGGUGAGGUAAAGGCUCACCAAGGCGACGAUCAGUAGCUGGUCUGAGAGGACGACCAGCCACACUGGAACUGAGACACGGUCCARACUCCUACGGGAGGCAGCAGUGGGGAAUUUUGGACAAUGGGCGAAAGCCUGAUCCAGCAAUGCCGCGUGAGUGAAGAAGGCCUUCGGGUUGUAAAGCUCUUUUGUCAGGGAAGAAACGGUAGAGGCUAAUAUCCUUUACUAAUGACGGUACCUGAAGAAUAAGCACCGGCUAACUACGUGCCAGCAGCCGCGGUAAUACGUAGGGUGCAAGCGUUAAUCGGAAUUACUGGGCGUAAAGCGUGCGCAGGCGGUUGUGCAAGACAGAUGUGAAAUCCCCGGGCUCAACCUGGGAAUUGCAUUUGUGACUGCACAGCUAGAGUGUGUCAGAGGGGGGUAGAAUUCCACGUGUAGCAGUGAAAUGCGUAGAUAUGUGGAGGAAUACCGAUGGCGAAGGCAGCCCCCUGGGAUAACACUGACGCUCAUGCACGAAAGCGUGGGGAGCAAACAGGAUUAGAUACCCUGGUAGUCCACGCCCUAAACGAUGUCUACUAGUUGUCGGGUCUUAAUUGACUUGGUAACGCAGCUAACGCGUGAAGUAGACCGCCUGGGGAGUACGGUCGCAAGAUUAAAACUCAAAGGAAUUGACGGGACCCGCACAAGCGGUGGAUGAUGUGGAUUAAUUCGAUGCAACGCGAAAAACCUUACCUACCCUUGACAUGGUCGGAAUCCUGAAGAGAUUUAGGAGUGCUCGAAAGAGAACCGACACACAGGUGCUGCAUGGCUGUCGUCAGCUCGUGUCGUGAGAUGUUGGGUUAAGUCCCGCAACGAGCGCAACCCUUGUCAUUAGUUGCUACGAAAGGGCACUCUAAUGAGACUGCCGGUGACAAACCGGAGGAAGGUGGGGAUGACGUCAAGUCCUCAUGGCCCUUAUGGGUAGGGCUUCACACGUCAUACAAUGGUACAUACAGAGGGCCGCCAACCCGCGAGGGGGAGCUAAUCCCAGAAAGUGUAUCGUAGUCCGGAUUGUAGUCUGCAACUCGACUACAUGAAGUUGGAAUCGCUAGUAAUCGCGGAUCAGCAUGUCGCGGUGAAUACGUUCCCGGGUCUUGUACACACCGCCCGUCACACCAUGGGAGCGGGUUCUGCCAGAAGUAGUUAGCCUAACCGUAAGGAGGGCGAUUACCACGGCAGGGUUCGUGACUGGGGUGAAGUCGUAACAAGAGUAACC